GCAUAUCAAUAAGCGGAGGAAAAGAAACCAACCGGGAUUGCCUCAGUAACGGCGAGUGAAGCGGCAAGAGCUCAAAUUUGAAAGCUGGCUCCUUCGGGGUCCGCAUUGUAAUUUGCAGAGGAUGCUUCGGGUGCAGCCCCCGUCUAAGUGCCCUGGAACGGGCCGUCAUAGAGGGUGAGAAUCCCGUAUGGGGCGGGGUGUCUGCGUCCGUGUGAAGCUCCUUCGACGAGUCGAGUUGUUUGGGAAUGCAGCUCUAAAUGGGUGGUAAAUUUCAUCUAAAGCUAAAUACUGGCCGGAGACCGAUAGCGCACAAGUAGAGUGAUCGAAAGAUGAAAAGCACUUUGAAAAGAGAGUUAAACAGCACGUGAAAUUGUUGAAAGGGAAGCGCUUGCAACCAGACUCGCUCGCGGGGUUCAGCCGGGCUUCGGCCCGGUGUACUUCCCCGCGGGCGGGCCAGCGUCGGUUUGGGCGGCCGGUCAAAGGCCUCCGGAAUGUAGCGCCCUUCGGGGCGCCUUAUAGCCGGGGGUGCAAUGCGGCCAGCCUGGACCGAGGAACGCGCUUCGGCACGGACGCUGGCAUAAUGGUUGUAAACGACCCGUCUUGAAACACGGACCAAGGAGUCUAACAUCUACGCGAGUGUUCGGGUGUCAAACCCGUACGCGCAGUGAAAGCGAACGGAGGUGGGAGCCCCCUCGCGGGGCGCACCAUCGACCGAUCCUGAUGUCUUCGGAUGGAUUUGAGUACGAGCGUAGCUGUGGGGACCCGAAAGAUGGUGAACUAUGCCUGAAUAGGGCGAAGCCAGAGGAAACUCUGGUGGAGGCUCGCAGCGGUUCUGACGUGCAAAUCGAUCGUCAAAUUUGGGUAUAGGGGCGAAAGACUAAUCGAACCAUCUGGUAGCUGGUUCCUGCCGA
rnacentral:rRNA from 2 species